AAUUGCGGCCAUAGCAGUCGGGAUACACCUGGACUCAUUCCGAACCCAGAAGUUAAGCCGACUCACGUAGUGCACUGUACUGAGGUACGCGAGUCCUCGGGAACUGUACCACGCUGCAAUUA
rfam:Methanolinea sp. SDB scaffold-1853, whole genome shotgun sequence.